rnacentral:rRNA from 1 species
GAUGAACGCUGGCGGCGUGCCUAAUACAUGCAAGUCGAACGAAACUUCUUUAUCACCGAGUGCUUGCACUCACCGAUAAAGAGUUGAGUGGCGAACGGGUGAGUAACACGUGGGCAACCUGCCCAAAAGAGGGGGAUAACACUUGGAAACAGGUGCUAAUACCGCAUAACCAUAGUUACCGCAUGGUAACUAUGUAAAAGGUGGCUAUACUACCGCUUUUGGAUGGGCCCGCGGCGCAUUAGCUAGUUGGUAGGGUAAAGGCUUACCAAGGCAAUGAUGCGUAGCCGAAUUGAGAGGUUGAUCGGCCACACUGGAACUGAGACACGGCCCAAACUCCUACGGGAGGCAGCAGUAGGGAAUCUUCCACAAUGGGCGAAAGCCUGAUGGAGCAACGCCGCGUGGGUGAAGAAGGUCUUCGGAUCGUAAAACCCUGUUGUUAGGGAAGAAAGUGCGUGAGAGUAACUGUUCACGUUUCGACGGUAUCUAACCAGAAAGCCACGGCCAACUACGUG